rnacentral:misc_RNA from 1 species
GAUGAAGAACGCAGUGAAAUGCGAUAAGUAAUGUGAAUUGCAGAAUUCAGUGAAUCAUCGAAUCUUUGAACGCACAUUGCGCCCGCCAGUAUUCUGGCGGGCAUGCCUGUUCGAGCGUCAUUUCAACCAUCAAGCCCCAGGCUUGUGUUGGGGACCUGCGGCUGCCGCAGGCCCUAAAAACCAGUGGCGGGCUCGCUGUCACACCGGGCGUAGUAGAUUUUAUCUCGCUCAGGGCGUGCUGCGGGUUCCGGCCGUUAAAAAGCCUUUUUUACCCAAGGUUGACCUCGGAUCAGGUAGGAAGACCCGCUGAACUUAAGCAUAUCAAUAAGCGGAGGA